rnacentral:rRNA from 1 species
GGGAUAACCGCUGUAAGGAUCUAAGCCGGAAGCCUGUUUUGAGAUGAGGGUUCCUUUGAGGUUCCCUCUAGACUAGGGGGUUGGUAGGCCAGAUCUUGAAGCGUAGUAAUGCGUUAAGGUGACUGGUACUAAUUUUACCGAGUAAUAACA